rnacentral:lncRNA from 1 species
CCUGUCCUGUCAGUUACCAUUGGCUUGACCUUAGGACAAAUGAGAAAAUUCUCAGCCUCAGUCUUUCUGCACAUGGGACUCCAUAACUUUUUGAUGAAAGUUCAAAUAGUGUGGGGUUUGUGAAAGAGAUUUUUAUUCUACAACUAUCAACAAAUUUUAUUUAAAAGCCUCUCGAGACUCCCACAUUCUAUGAUAGAACGAGAACUCCUAAAUGAAAAUUUUAUUAACAAAACAGGCAAACGUCCACACUACCUAUUAAACGAACAUCAUGGCAAAAUGAUCAAUGACUAGCCAUAUGGUGAGGCGACAACUAACAUGGCGUAAUUGUAUGAAAAUUGCUGCCGAGCGAGCUCUGGGUUGAUAAAACGAGUCCAAUGGCUGUUUUCUCAUUUUGUUGGGAGUGCUUGCCUAUUCUCAGAGUAGCACGGCAUCCCAUUUUCCCUGUUGCACUUGAUAAGGGCAAAUUGGCAGAGUAGGAUGGACAGAGCUGCGUGCAGUCCCACAGUUCAGCCUGCAAUCGACUGGAAGAGUGGUACAGAUUGUUUUCCCUUCAUUCAGAGACACUUAUCAAGGCCCAACAAGGAAGGUAAUUCGGGCCACUUGCCAGGCAGAUGAACCUCUCAGAAGAGACAGCACCAAGCCCCUCCCCCCAACCCUCAAGCAUAACAAAAUUGUUAAGACUUUGCCAGCCCCAGGGGGUAGAAAACAAAGAAAGAAAGGGGAAAGAAAGAAAUUUCUGAAGCAGACUGCUUAAUAAAGGGUACCCAACAGAGUAAUUUAGCCAAGUAUUUCAAAGAGCUAUUCAGUUGUGGCCUUGUAACCUCUCCGCGCGCGCCCGUGAGAAGAGAAGCUCACCGCAGAAAUGUGCUCUUUGAUUUGUAGCUGAUUUUCCUCUCUUAUAUGCAUCUACUCAGUGCCUCUCAGAUUCAGGAGCAGAGACAAUCACCUUGUGACAAGAGGGAAGAAAGUAAGAAACAUGUGGAGACACACAAAGGGAUGAAGAAACAGGUCCAGAGGAACCAGGAGCUCAGAGGGAUGAAGGAACCUCCCCAGGUUCACAGCGACUCGGAGGCAGAGCCCAGACUUGAGCUCCAAAAUGGGAGUCCAGAGCUCUCAGUAAAACCUCAUGCUGUUUCAAAGAGUAAUGUGUCGAAUCAGUGAAUGCGUGACUCAUCUUACAAAACUGAGUCUCAGACAUUUCAAAGAUCUCUCCUUUCAGAGCUGGGAUCCUGGGCCGCUGUGCAGGGCUCCACGCC